rnacentral:tRNA from 1 species
GUCCUGAUAGUAUAACAAUUAUUCUGGUUUUCUAAACCAGAAAUGAAGGUUAAACCUUCUCAGGGCA